rnacentral:tRNA from 1 species
GACAACGUGGCGGAGUGGUUAACGCGCCGGCCUGCUAAGCCGGUGCCCUUUGGGCGCGCAGGUUCGAAUCCUGCCGUUGUCG